rnacentral:lncRNA from 1 species
CGGUCAUCACGAUGAGCAUAAUCGCAAUGAAACUGGUCUUCAUCGGGUUCCUCCAACGCUCCCUCCUCUCUCCCGCUAGAUAGCGCGCGUAUCUAAUUUCCGCCUCCGCCCUUGUGGUGUACCCUUUGUAACUGUUACCGCUGAAUCGGUGAACCUGUCUCCGACACUCCUCCCAGUCGUCGUAGACUCCGGGAACCUUACCCUUGUACACGACAUACGACGGCAUCUCUAUGCACUAGCCAAACAAAACAUUAGUAGCAAUUCACAGAGACGUACAAG